rnacentral:rRNA from 1 species
UACGUAGGGUGCAAGCGUUAUCCGGAAUUACUGGGCGUAAAGAGUGUGUAGGCGGUUUUUUAAGUCAAGUGUUAAAUCUGCGGGCUCAACUCGCAGGCUGCACUUGAUACUGGGAAACUUGAGAGUGGAAGAGGUAAGCGGAAUUUUCGGUGGAGCGGUAAAAUGCGUAGAUAUCGAAAAGAACACCAAUGGCGAAGGCAGCUUACUGGGCCAUUUCUGACGCUGAGACACGAAAGCGUGGGGAGCGAUCGGG